UUUACAACGCAAGUUAAGACCUACCAUUUCCUCUUCUGUGUAUCAGCCACAAUCCCACACUAUAUUAAUCAGCGUUCGCAAAAUGGAAGAGUUUUACCCUCUCAGACGAAUGUAAACAACUGUUUGAAAGCACACGCCACUAUUACCCCCGGAGCCUCUCCCACACCUUUCUUCCCACUACAAAAGAAAUCGGUUACGGGGCAGAGAGGCGGCUCCCCUAGCGUAGCAGCACGAGCCCUGCCGGGGGAAGGCGACCCGGCAGAGACGCGGCGGUGCCCCGUACCCGGAACGGGGAGCGGCGCUCCGCGAGAGGCCGCGGGGCGGCUCCUCGGCUUCGGCCCCGCUUCCUGCCGCUGCCGGGACGAGCCCGGGCACCCGGCGCCGCGCUCGCCGCGCGCUCCCAAGCCCCUGCCAGCGCCGGGGGCAGGAGAAGGAGAGCGGGCCCCCCCUCCGCGCGGCCCGCAGCACCCCCGGGAGGCAAGAAGCGGAAGGAGAAUCGGCGGCGGCAGCGCCGGGGCCGGCCCCACGCAGGGCAGCGCUCGCCCAGCCGCCCUCUCCGCCCGAGCAGGCGGCGGGCAAGGGGGCCGCCCGCGGAAGCCCCGGCAGCGUGCGGGACGCGGGUGGCCCCCCCCCUCACGGACGCACCGGGCCCGGCGCCUGGGCCCAGGCCUUCCCCCAGCUCCCCCAGCGCGCCGCGGCCGCCGGCAGCCCCGGGCGGCCUCGGCGCCGGCGCCGCGCACUCACCAGGUGGCUGCUGGUGCUCGCCAUGGGCCCCGCCCGGCCGGCCGGCCCGGCCCGCGCUCCCGUCGCCCUUUAAGAGCCGAGCGCGCGGCCGCCCGGCCCGAGCCAAUGGGACUCUCGCAUCCUCCGCCCGUGACGUCACCCACAACAAUACGCCCCCCGCCGCGGGCGGGACUUCCGCGCAGCCCGCCAGGCCGUUGGUCGAGCCGCCUGCUACUCACGUGCGAGCCCGGGCGGAGCGUCCCCCAUCAGCCUCAGCGUCCGCUGCCGAUGCGGGCAUGCGCAGACGCUGGGCUUUCGCUACGGGCUUCGCUUCCUGCCCGGAAGCUGCGUGGGGUGAGGGCGGCAGAAGCCUGCCCAGCUUCCGCCCGAGGCGCGCAUGCGGGCUCUCCGCGCGGGGUGAGGCUGCUGCGGGAGCGACGGGAAGGUGGCGGCGGGAGGAGGCGGUGCCGCCGGGUCGCGGCCCGCGCCGCUGGGCGCCUGGUGUCGUCGUUGCGCGCGUCCGCCAGCGCGCCUCCUGCCGCCCGCUCUCCCGGCGGCGGCCCGCGCCUCGAGGCGCGAGCUUCCGCUGAGGAUGUCGAGAUCUCGUUAGCGUUACGAAUCCGAAUGUGUAACGCGUAA
rnacentral:lncRNA from 1 species